rnacentral:rRNA from 1 species
UACGGGGGGAGCAAGCGUUGUUCGGAUUUACUGGGCGUAAAGGGCGAGUAGGCGGCCACCGCAAGUCAGUUGUGAAAUCUCUGGGCUUAACCCAGAAAGGUCAACUGAUACUGCGGGGCUAGAGUGCAGAAGGGGCAACUGGAAUUCUCGGUGUAGCGGUGAAAUGCGUAGAUAUCGAGAGGAACACCUGCGGCGAAGGCGGGUUGCUGGGCUGACACUGACGCUGAACUGCGAAAGCUAGGGGAGCGAACAGG